AAGGGUUCCAUGUGAACAGCAGUUGAACAUGGGUCAGUCGGUCCUAAGAGAUAGGAGAACUCCGUUCUGAAACGGGGGCAAUGCCGCCUGAAUUGCAAACACGCAAAAAACGCAUGAUGCCCGUCCAUCAUCGAAAGGGAAUCGGGUUAAUAUUCCCGAACCCGGACACGGAGAUUGACCCUCGCGGGUCAUGUGCGGUAACGCAAACGAACUGGGAGACGUCGGCGGGAGUCCCGGGAAGAGUUCUCUUUUCUUUGUAAGGAACGGACUCCCUGGAAUCGGCUUGCCCGGAGAUAGGGACGUUGUUUCCGUAAAGCACCGCGGCUCUUGCGGUGUCCGGUGCACUCCCGUCGGCCCUUGAAAAUCCCAGGGAGACAGUGUGAUUUUCGUGCCGGACCGUACCCAUAUCCGCAGCAGGUCUCCAAGGUGCACAGCCUCUAGUCGAUAGAACA
rnacentral:rRNA from 1 species